AUCACCUUUGCUGUAUUCUUUCCAGACUUCAGCAAGGUAAACGGGACUAGUCUUUUGGUAGAAAUCUGGAGUAAAAACGAAAUAGCCCUCAAGGACCAUGUGGGUUAGGCCCGUGAAAAUCCACCAGCACAUGAGUACCCUGUCAGUCUUUGAUAAUUUAGGAACAAAUCCUGAGAAUAUCCACAUGAACACCACAACCAGUACGGAUGAGAUGCCAUAUACACCAACAAUUUCUGACUGUGAGAGGAAUAGGGGAACAAAACCAGGCAAUUUUAGAUCAUGUGGAACGUAGGGGUGAGCUUCUCCCUGGCUUGCCAUUUUUUCUCAGUGCCUGACUUGAGGACCCUUUCCUGUGAUCG
rnacentral:misc_RNA from 1 species